CCGUGCAGCCGGGGAGAUAGCGGUGCCCUGUACCUGCAAUCCGCUAAAGCAGGGGUGAUGCCAAGCCGAGGACUUCCCAUUGUGAAGCCGGCCUUUAAAAGUGGCGAUGACGCCCGGGUCUUACGCAACGAGAAUCUAUGAACCGUGUCAGGGCAGGAAUGCAGCAGCACUAAGUAGAACCUUUCGUGUGCCGUGAGGGUGCCUGGGCCGAGCUAACUGUAAAGGUAUCGUUCAUGAUGUCCGUUCGAAGCGAGGCGCACGG
rnacentral:SRP_RNA from 1 species